rnacentral:misc_RNA from 1 species
GAUGAAGAACGUAGCGAAAUGCGAUAAGUAAUGUGAAUUGCAGAAUUCAGUGAAUCAUCGAAUCUUUGAACGCAUCUUGCGCUCCUUGGUAUUCUGAGGAGCAUGCCUGUUUGAGUGUCAUUAAAUUCUCAACUACACUGACUUUGAAUUGGUGUGGCUUGGAUUUGGGGGGAAAAUUGUUGUGGGCUUUUUGUAUAGUCUGCUCCCCUGAAAUUGAUUAGCGGUACCUUCGUGGAACUGUCUACAGGUGUGAUAAUUAUCUACAUCUUAGACAUCUGCUGGAAUGCUGCUUUCUAAACCUUACUUGUAUUGACAAUCUUGACCUCAAAUCAGGUAGGACUACCCGCUGAACUUAAGCAUAUCAAUAAGCGGAGGA